rnacentral:rRNA from 1 species
GACGAACGCUGGCGGCGUGCCUAACACAUGCAAGUCGAACGGGGUAAUUUCUUCGGAGAUUACUUAGUGGCGAACGGGUGAGUAACGCGUGAGAAACCUGCCUUUCAGUGGGGGACAACAGUUGGAAACGACUGCUAAUACCGCAUAAUGUUAUUUGGGGGCAUCCCUGAAUAACCAAAGCUUUAUGUGCUGAAAGAUGGUCUCGCGUCUGAUUAGCUAGAUGGCGGGGUAACGGCCCACCAUGGCGACGAUCAGUAGCCGGUCUGAGAGGAUGAACGGCCACAUUGGGACUGAGAUACGGCCCAGACUCCUACGGGAGGCAGCAGUGGGGAAUAUUGGGCAAUGGGGGAAACCCUGACCCAGCAACGCCGCGUGAAGGAAGAAGGCCUUCGGGUUGUAAACUUCUUUUACCAGGGACGAAGAACGUGACGGUACCUGGAGAAAAAGCAACGGCUAACUACGUGCCAGCAGCCGCCGUAACAC